GAUGAACGCUGGCGGCGUGCCUAAUACAUGCAAGUCGAGCGAACGGACGAGAAGCUUGCUUCUCUGAUGUUAGCGGCGGACGGGUGAGUAACACGUGGAUAACCUACCUAUAAGACUGGGAUAACUUCGGGAAACCGGAGCUAAUACCGGAUGAUAUUUUGAACCGCAUGGUUCAAAAGUGAAAGACGGUCUUGCUGUCACUUAUAGAUGGAUCCGCGCUGCAUUAGUUAGUUGGUAAGGUAACGGCUUACCAUGGCAACGAUGCAUAGCCGACCUGAGAGGGUGAUCGGCCACACUGGAACUGAGACACGGUCCAGACUCCUACGGGAGGCAGCAGUAGGGAAUCUUCCGCAAUGGGCGAAAGCCUGACGGAGCAACGCCGCGUGAGUGAUGAAGGUCUUCGGAUCGUAAAACUCUGUUAUUAGGGAAGAACAUAUGUGUAAGUAACUGUGCACAUCUUGACGGUACCUAAUCAGAAAGCCACGGCUAACUACGUG
rnacentral:rRNA from 1 species